AAUGAACGCUGGCGGCGUGCUUAACACAUGCAAGUCGAACGAAGCACUUUAUUCGAUUUUCUUCGGAGAUGAAGAUUUAGUGACUGAGUGGCGGACGGGUGAGUAACGCGUGGAUAACCUGCCUCACACUGGGGGAUAACAGUUAGAAGUGACUGCUAAUACCGCAUAAGCGCACAGUACCGCAUGGUAUGGUGUGAAAAACUCCGGUGGUGUGAGAUGGAUCCGCGUUUGAUUAGCCAGUUGGCGGGGUAACGGCCCACCAAAGCGACGAUCAAUAGCCGACCUGAGAGGGUGACCGGCCACAUUGGGUCUGAGACACGGCCCAAACUCCUACGGGAGGCAGCAGUGGGGAAUAUUGCGCAAUGGGGGAAACCCUGACGCAGCGACGCCGCGUGAGCGAUGAAGUAUUUCGGUAUGUAAAGCUCUAUCAGCAGGGAAGAAUAAAUGACGGUACCUGACUAAGAAGCCCCGGCUAACUACGUGCCAGCCGCCGCAGUAA
rnacentral:rRNA from 1 species